rnacentral:lncRNA from 1 species
UUUCUUGCUUUAUAUGAUAUGCAUGAAAAUGAAGUAGUUGGGUCCAACGCCCAUAAGACAACACGCCUUAAUGUGAUUAAACGCGUAACUAAAAUCAAUCACCAUUCCUAGACCGAGAUUCAACACAAGGCUCGUGUUGAAUCUAAACAAAGGUUCAUAAUCAUCCUUAGGCCCUAAGGCAACUAUAUAGUCCAUCAAAUGAAUGCAAAGUUUAUGUUAGUAGUAUCAUAUACUCUUGCUUUAAAAAUCGUUUUAUAAGCAUAGUGGGAGUAUUAUGUACAACUAAAACAAUGAGAUGGAACAAUAGUUGUAAUAGGACCAAAAUUGUUUUAAUAGAGAUUAAAAUGAAUGUUUAUAUGUGAUGAGACCUAAAACCCUCAACCAAACCAUUAUUAAGUUGAUAAGCGUGAGAGUGCUUAGAACACUCUUUCGUGGCCUUCCACCGUGGUGGGCUUCAAUAGUUUGUGACUCGUACAAUGUAUUCGUCCAGUUCUGGGGUUGCAAAGUAUGUGCUUACAUUCAGGAGAAGCCUAUAAACAUAUGAUGAAGUGAAAGGUAGGCAACAAGUGUGGCCAAUAUGGAGUUCUUCUGAGGCCAUUCUUGAACCCCUACUUGAACUAGCAUGGUGGGAAUGACUUAACUAAGUGCAAUGGUGCCAAUAUGAAGUUCUUCUGAGGCAUCAUUCUCUAGAGGCCAAACGAGAUUGGUACUUGCAUUAGUUGCAAAUGAGUAAGCGUACUCUCUCAUUAUUAUUGUUGCUAGCCAAUAUGGAGUUCUUUUGAGGUGGGCUUGGUAAUAGUGAGCCUCCCAUAACCUACUAGGAGUUUCAUCCAAAACUCGCGAAUUCCAAUGAGGGAUAUGGAAUUUGCCAAAAAUAGUGGGUGGUGCUAUUUGAUUUAAAGACCCUGAAUCAAAUGGCUUAAAAUCAAUCAAUCUAUAUUCGUUAUGUAUUUGUUUACCAAUAUAUUUGCAAACGCUAUCCAUCACUUGACAAAUAAAAACCGAAUGUUUUAGUUUCCGGACUUGGUACCACAAUCCCAAAGAAUGUCUUAAAUGGAUUGUAUAUGUACCUAAGUAGUCUCAUCCUCAAAAUCUUCCUAAUGAUAAUGUAUCAUUGGAAGAACAUGUUAGAAAAGUCUAUCAUGAAGAGGACAACACAAACAACCAAUGCUUAAUCCUUUGUUAAAUGAACAAAGGAACUUAUGAAGAUUAGCAUAAUGACGAGGACAACACUUUUAAUGUCAUAAUUCUUCAAUUACAAAUUGUUGUAUGAAGAAAUAGGAGUUGCUUUGAACAACCCUUAGUCAAUGCAAACACUAGUGCUUGAUUCUUUGUUAAAUGAACAAAGAACUUGAGAAGAAAGCACAAAGGCAUGGACACUUUAUGUGCCAUAAUUCUUCACUUACAAUUUGUUGUGUGAAGAAAUAAGAGUUGCCUUGUACAACUCUUUAAAGUUUGUAAUUAUGUUUAGAACAUAAUGGUUGGUUGACAAAAUAGUCCAUCAACAUGGACUUAUGAUGAUUUUGAAUCAUUGAGUGUUGAAGUGAUAAACCACUUAACGAGACGGAAACUAGGCAAGGACUUCACCUUUGUUUCCCUAUACUAAUCAUUCACUAAGUUUAUUGUAAACUGUGUAGUGAACAAUAACCGCACUCUCUCCAAAAUGUUUGAUGUGUAUAACACAAUUGAAAAAGGUUUCAAGAGAGAUAGUGGGAGUUUAGGGACCAUGACUAUCGUAGUCAAAGGUGAAAGUCAAAUAAAGAAGAUAAAUAACUCCAAGGGAACAAACUUUCUUUAUGAAAGGAUGGACAUUGGAAGGGGUAUUUGCAAGAAAUGUCUUGCAAGUGUCAAGAACACACCUUUCGAAGGUGUUGUAAAAUGUUCUUGAAAAGUUCAAAACAGUUGGUUCUUCUACUUGAAUGAUUGAUUCCGUAUUAGUAACUAUGUUUUACAAUCGUUGUAAAAGUGUGGCUAAUAAGAAGUAGAAGAUUAAUGAGAGAAGAGAAAGUACUUCACAUUCGAAACGUGAAUCAAAUGUAGAUCUCUGUGAAAGCAGAUGGUACUUACUUCCUCAUAUGAACUACCAAAGAAAUUGGAAAAACAUAGAUUGUCUUUAUAUUC